GCAGUCGUAUUGCGUAUGCGAUAUAAUUUAAAUUAUUUGUCGUCAAUUGACGGAUCAAUUGUUUCAUUUAAUUAAGUAUUAGUCUGACUUCUGAGCAAGCGUACCAGUUUUUUUAUAAUUUGAAUAUUGUCACUAGUGGAAAUUUUUCCACAAGACGAAAUAGGGUUGAACAUAAACCCUAUUUCCCGAUUUUCUUAUUUCGAUAUAAAAAAAAUAUCGAAAGUAACGGUCAGAAGUCAGAACUACUAUCUCCCAGUCAGGAGCCUACAUUAUUGCCAUCUAUUAGCAUCCCUCCAAUCUGGAUGUACAUCUUUUAUAGC